GGUCUAAUGGUCUAGUUGGUUAGGACGUCGGAUUCUGAAACGAGAGUUCCGUAAGCCCAGGUUCGAAUCCUGGUUAGACCU
rnacentral:tRNA from 1 species